ensembl:misc_RNA 7SK 7SK RNA
GGAUGUGAGGGCGAUCUGGCUACAACAUCUGUCACCCCAUUGAUUUCCAGGGUUGAUUCGGCUGAUCUGGCUGUCUAGGCGGGUGUCCCCUUCCUCCCUCACCGCUCCAUGUGCAUCCCCCCCCCCCCGAAGCUGGAGGGACUUCGCUCAGUCAAAGAGGAUGGCCUUCCCCAAAUAGAGACAGACUGGUCUUCAGUCAAGGGUAUGGGUAGCUGUGCUCCCUUUCUAGAACCUCCAAACAAGCUCUCAAGUCUGUCUUAAGGACACAGUUUUGGACUGAUAAUCAGAAAUACACAUACCAUUUCUUUUCUUUCUGAAUCUAUUAUUG